rnacentral:rRNA from 1 species
UACGUAGGGGGCAAGCGUUGUCCGGAUUUACUGGGCGUAAAGAGCGCGCGGGCGGUCGUUCAAGUCGCGUGUGAAAGCCCCCGGCUCAACUGGGGAGGGUCACGCGAUACUGAUCGACUCGAAGGCAGGAGAGGGUAGUGGAAUUCCCGGUGUAGUGGUGAAAUGCGUAGAUAUCGGGAGGAACACCAGUGGCGAAGGCGACUACCUGGCCUGUUCUUGACGCUGAGGCGCGAAAGCUAGGGGAGCAAACGGG